UUAGCAUGGAAUAAUGAAAUAGGACGUGUGGUUCUAUUUUGUUGGUUUCUAGGACCGCCGUAAUGAUUAAUAGGGACAGUCGGGGGCAUCAGUAUUCAAUUGUCAGAGGUGAAAUUCUUGGAUUUAUUGAAGACUAACUACUGCGAAAGCAUUUGCCAAGGAUGUUUUCAUUAAUCAGGAACGAAAGUUAGGGGAUCGAAGACGAUCAGAUACCGUCGUAGUCUUAACCAUAAACUAUGCCGACUAGGGAUCGGACGAUGUUAAAAAUUGACUCGUUCGGCACCUUACGAGAAAUCAAAGUGCUUGGGCUCCAGGGGGAGUAUGGUCGCAAGGCCGAAACUUAAAGAAAUUGACGGAAGGGCACCACCAGGGGUGGAGCCUGCGGCUUAAUUUGACUCAACACGGGGAAACUCACCAGGUCCAGACACAAUGAGGAUUGACAGAUUGAGAGCUCUUUCUUGAUUUUGUGGGUGGUGGUGCAUGGCCGUUUUUAGUUGGUGGAGUGAUUUGUCUGCUUAAUUGCGAUAACGAACGAGACCUUAACCUGCUAACUAGCCCGUAUUGCUUUGGCAGUACGCUGGCUUCUUAGAGGGACUAUCGGCUCAAGCCGAUGGAAGUUUGAGGCAAUAACAGGUCUGUGAUGCCCUUAGAUGUUCUGGGCCGCACGCGCGCUACACUGACGGAGCCAGCGAGUACUCCCUUGGCCGAAAGGCCUGGGUAAUCUUGUUAAACUCCGUCGUGCUGGGGAUAGAGCAUUGCAAU
rnacentral:rRNA from 1 species